rnacentral:lncRNA from 10 species
AUAUACACAAUACUAUUUAAAAGGCACUAAAUCGUACUAAAAUAAAUGAAGCAUUAGGUAUAAAUAUAACAAAAUAGGUGCAGCGUCUGUAUGCUGAAAACUACAAAACACUGAUGAAAGAAGGAAGAAAUAUCUAAGUAAAUGAAGAAAUAUGCAGUUUCAUGGAUUUGAGGCUUAAUAUUUCAAAGAUGUCCAUUCUCCCAUUUUCCCUGAUUUAAAGUGUUUGCUUUGCAAACGACCUGUAAAUAUGGUAAAAAAGCAAGCCACAGACUUGGAGCUAUUACUUGCAAAUUUCAUAUUUGAUAAAGUACUUAUAUCCAGAAUUUUUUCUCUCUCUCCCUAUUACCCUCAAGUACUACUAAAGUUAAAGCUUAAAAUAAAAUUGACAACACCAAAUGUCGAUAGGCAUGUGAAACCACAAGAAUUCCCAUUGCUGGUGGGAAUACAAAAGUAGUAUUCUACUUGGACGUCCACACCCCCUGGAUCACAGAUUGCCCAUUUCUUAUAAAGAUAAACAUACAAUCAUCUCAUGGCCCACAAAGUCCUGUCCUAGAUGUUUAUCUAAGUGAAUGGAAAACUGUGUUCACACAAAAAACAAUUUGCAGAUGUCUAUAACAGUUUUAUUCAUAACACCUCAAACUGGAAACAACCAAGUUGUCCUUCAACACGAGUGGAGAAACAGACUGUGGUGUGUUCACACGACGUAAGGCUACUCAACAGUGAAAGGAGUGAGUAACCGACUCACAGGAUGUAGAUGAAUCUUAACUGCAUUUUGGUAAGUGAAAAAGGCAGCACCCAAAGGCUGCAUAUUACAUGUUCCACUUAUAUAACAUCCUGGAGGAGGCAAAAAUGUAGGAACGGAAAAGGGGGCAGGGCUUCUAAGGGUUUGGGGAUGGGUUGAUGAGUGAUGGAACUGUUCUGUGUGGUAGUGGGUGGAAGAUUUUUGACUGCAUUUCUGUGUUGUGGAAAGACAUGGAAAAGCUAAAAAGUCAAAUUUAUCGUAUGCAAAGUAAAUAAAAACUCAACUAGGAUUUGAGGAAAUCUCAAACUAGAAGGAUGACUGUGACAAAUGAAUCUAACUGAUUACAAAUGAUGACACAACUCAGAAAUGUUGCUCCAGAAUCAG